rnacentral:rRNA from 1 species
GACGAACGCUGGCGGCGUGCCUAAUACAUGCAAGUAGAACGCACAGUUUAUACCGUAGCUUGCUACACCAUAGACUGUGAGUUGCGAACGAGUGAGUAACGCGUAGGUAACCUGCCUGGUAGCGGGGGAUAACUAUUGGAAACGAUAGCUAAUACCGCAUAAUAUUAAUUAUUGCAUGAUAAUUAAUUGAAAGGUGCAAUUGCACCACUACCAGAUGGACCUGCGUUGUAUUAGCUAGUAGGUGAGGUAACGGCUCACCUAGGCGACGAUACAUAGCCGACCUGAGAGGGUGAUCGGCCACACUGGGACUGAGACACGGCCCAGACUCCUACGGGAGGCAGCAGUAGGGAAUCUUCGGCAAUGGACGAAAGUCUGACCGAGCAACGCCGCGUGAGUGAAGAAGGUUUUCGGAUCGUAAAGCUCUGUUGUAAGAGAAGAACGGGUGUGAGAGUGGAAAGUUCACACUGUGACGGUAUCUUACCAGAAAGGGACGGCUAACUACGUG